rnacentral:lncRNA from 1 species
GUCGACAACAGAUGCUGGUAACGAUCCUCCAACCUCUGGUAGGUGUGGUGAGAGACUCACCGUCCUCCACGUCCUCCUGGAG